rnacentral:rRNA from 1 species
UACGUAGGGAGCAAGCGUUGUCCGGAAUCAUUGGGCGUAAAGCGCGCGUAGGCGGCCCCGUAAGUCCGCUGUGAAAGUCAAAGGCUCAACCUUUGAAAAGCCGGUGGAUACUGUGGGGGCUAGAGUCCGGAAGAGGCGAGUGGAAUUCCUGGUGUAGCGGUGGAAUGCGCAGAUAUCAGGAGGAACACCAAUAGCGAAGGCAGCUCGCUGGGACGGUACUGACGCUAAGGCGCGAAAAGCGUGGGGAGCGAACAGG